GCAUAUCAAUAAGCGGAGGAAAAGAAACUAACAAGGAUUCCCCUAGUAACUGCGAGUGAAGCGGGAAAAGCUCAAGCUUAAAAUCUACAAGUAAUAAACCACUUGUCGAGUUGUAGCUUAUGGAGGCAGUUAUCGACUCUACAACAUAGUAAAAGUCCCUUUGAAUAGGGCAUCAAAGAGGGUGAAAAUCCCGUAUUUGUACUGUGUUAACAAGUAGGGAAAUGUGAACUGUUUUCUUUGAGUCGGGUUGUUUGGGAAUGCAGCCCUAAUUAGGAGGUAAAUUUCUUCUAAAGCUAAAUAUAAGCAAGAGACCGAUAGCAAACAAGUACCGUGAGGGAAAGAUGAAAAGCACUUUGAAAAGAGAGUGAAAAGUACGUGAAAUUGUUGAAAGGGAACCAGUUGGUAGCCAAGCUUCAUAUUCAAAGUAUUUAUAUUUUGUUCAUGAGGUCAACAUCGGUUGUUAAAUAACUGCCUGAAGGGAAAAGUUGUGGGUUAGCGAAGUAAGGUAGGGUGAUUGGUUUGUUAUUCAUUCGUGGGUAGCAUAUUCCGCCAAUUAUCUGUUAUAGACUUCAUGAAUCUACUUUUUUAAGCUCAGAGGUGGUGACGACCGAGGAUCGCAGUGUUUUUUUUUUUUAAUUUUAUUCUUUGCAAAAGGAGUAAGAAAGAAAAAAAUAGGGGGAGACUUAAGAGGGUAACUGUUUUUUUGGGAUUUAUAGACAGCUUGCUGACUAUAUUAGCAAAAAGAUGUAUCUAAUCUUUAAUUUCUACUAAGAAGCACUUGGGAUGUUGGCGAAAAGGCACCAAUUGACCCGUCUUGAAACACGGACC
rnacentral:rRNA from 1 species